UACAGGUUCGAAUCCUGUCCCCGC
rnacentral:siRNA from 1 species